AUGGAUCUCCUUUGUGGAUCUUCUACAGUAGCGAAGCUGCCUAAACGAUUGGAAAUAUAGAGCGCCAUUUUGUUUGAUGAAUAGGUUCCCUUUACACUUGAGAUGAAAUGCUAACAACACAUUGUUAAAGUAGCAGUCGAAGUAUGAGCUUUUUGUUGUUCAUAAUAUAUGGUAAUGUUACCGCAAUGAUCUAGAAUGCUGUAGGGAUCCUUGUAUUGAUUGUUUAAUGCUGAUCUGG
rnacentral:misc_RNA from 1 species